AAUGGCAGCCACUCUUUUCUCACCGUCCCCUCAACCUCUUCCAACCCCAAGACCAUCAAGCCCCACGACAGUCGUAGGACCUUUUGCCGUGAUCUCUGAGAACUUCUACCUCGAGAUGUCCACGGGACCAAGACCGAAGCCCUAAUGCAGGUUUUUCGCAAGGCCAUUGAUGUGAGGAUUAAGGAAGAGACCAAAGAUCAUUAAGGCGAGGUAGUCAAGGUCAAAUUGACCGCCCUGCAGUUGCUGGUGCCGUUCCAAAGACAUGAAAACUGACUAUGAAAACGACAUAGUUUGAGGGGAUGUAUGAUCUCGGAGGAUUGAAGAGGCGUCGACCAGUGACCAGCUAGAGAGACGCGCGUCAUCGACAACCAAAGAGGCAGAGCCAUCAACGAGAGAGAACCCAGAGAGGCAGAAAGCUUAUGACGAGAGAGAACCCAAAGAGGCAGAGAGCCAUCGACGAGAGAGAAUCCAGAGAGGAGAGAGUCGUCGACGGGUGAGAACCCAUAGAGGAGAGAGCUAUCGACAACAGAGAACAGAUCUGUCGCAGAUCUGCCGCACGGUGCUUCACAUAUCCUCCGAUUAGGCCAACUAGCCCCGACUAGUCGGUAUUUAAUCGGGUCAACGACUAAGUGACCCGCUUACCCUCUAGUCGAAGCGGCAAGGCUUGACUAGCGACUAGUCGGCUGACUAGAGAGAUUUUUGCAACAGUGAAUUUACUGGAGGUCUAGCUUUAGAAGGGCUAUAAUCCUUAUGACACCGUGGGCCGUUGGUUUCGUAUGCCUAUGCAAUGACCUCAAGCUAAAUUAAUGAAGACGGCUUGUGAGCUACAUCUGAGACUCCGGGGAAUCGAGAAGACGUUGUAAACGUAUAGUAUGUAUACACUACUAUCGAGGUGAGUAUGCGGAUGGCAGCCAACAUCCCGAGGCCUGAGCGGUUUUCCAUACAGUUGUGGUUUAUAGGUAGCGUAGGGUUUGAUUAUUAAGGAUUUCCGCAUAUUUUGUUCGUAAAACUUAUUUGAAUAUUUCUUAAAUGUUUUUUUUGGAGUUGGAUUUUACUUUGGAUUCAAUAAACGAAUUAUGGAGGUUUUUGUUUAAAAUUUUUAUGUUUGAGAUAUUUUUGUAAUUCCGCA